UUGUGUUGACUAAACAGUACAUAAGGUAAAAGGAUCAGAGCUGUGUUACCAUUCAAGUUAUAGCAAAAGAAGAUGUCGACUUUAUCAGCUUGUUAUAAGCUUAUCGCAGCCAUUGCAAUUGCAGUAGCUUUUAUUAGUAGUGCAAUGGCAGCGCCAGUUGCAGAGCCAGAUCCGCAAAGAAACUGUGGUUUCUGUGCUGUACGAGGUUAAAGGUGAGACUUUCGUGCAUGUCAGAAAUAUGGAAACAGACAUGGAAUAUAAGGGAAGGAAGAAAAAAAAAUUUGGAUUAUAAUAAAAAGAAAAUUUUACGUAA